CUCUUUUCAGUCUGAUUGCAUUUUCCCUGUUGACACAUCCUUGAACAAGGACAAUUCUACAUGACCCUGGCAUUGCCACCUACCCAAACCUUUGAUCUGGAAUGCCACAAAUCUAAGAGAUCUUCUAUCUGGUGACAACAGCUCUUUGGAGACAUUGCAAAGUCCUUUUCCAGUUUAAGCUCUGCCUCUGCCAUGUGUUGUAAUCAGCACAGAAUGACAAGGGAUGAGCAGCAGUGUUAGAACAGAUGUGACACACCUGCAGCCUACCACUGCAGCCUGGCCUUUUUGGAGGAAGUCUUCCCUACCCUCUACCAGCCUGGCAACCUGAACACAGAACAUGACCACAUGAGUCCAAAAGACCUGAAGAGAAGUGAACAGAUUUGGGUUUUCUUCCCAAAGAAGAAGAGGUGGGCAGGAGAAACUUCUUCCUGCUUGUGGAUGCAGUUGUGCAAGGAUAUAAUUCCCAAAGCAACAACAGCAGCCACUUUGUGACCACGAGGUAACCAACCCAAAUGGAAGCCAAUGUGGUAAGGAAGGCAGAACAAAAUUUGUUUAAUACAGAUUUUUAAUGAUCUUAUUAAGCUCUUCAAACCAAGCUUGAAACUACCUUCCUCAGAAUGAAAAAAACAAAAACAACUGGGAAUUCUGUAUCCGAGAUGCUUGUAGCCCGCUUUUCUAGCAUAGGGUACAUUCACUCCAGCUGGUUUACCUCUUGCUAUCAAACUACAUAGGGCCUUUGUUGGUUGUUUGGAUUUCCUCUCAGUGUUGUGCAGACCAACAAAAUUUGGGGGUCUAUUAAAGUAAAUAUGCUUUAAAAUUA